rnacentral:lncRNA from 1 species
UGUACGAGGAAAUUAACAAAAUGCUUCACAACGGGUUUUCAGAUGAGGUGUGGUAUUUUUUUUCUUCUAUUUAGUCUUUUUUUUUUUUGUGAAGGGGAUAAAAAGGAACUAAGAGCUGGCUGAAAGAUGUAGUAAGAAGGGAAAAAAAAUCCAGUGGCAUUGGCAUAAUACAUGGCUGCCUAUAUAUACCUAGUGCUACCGGGCUGCACAGACAAUUCAACAAAAAUACAAAACACCAGCACACCAGCAGAGUGAAAGAUGUAGUCAAGAGAAGAUAAGGAAGAUUGGAGGUGUUGGAAUAGGAGGCAAAAGGGAAACACAAAUUACAGACUGACGCUGAUGCUGCAUGUCCAUAAUAUCCGCCGCUACCAUCUGCCUGGACCUAAAAGCAUGUGUCUUCCAUCAGGCUUGGAUAAUCACCAACGGCUUGACCAGCAGCCACGUAGAGGCUGAUGUCUUACUAGCCUUUGACAAGUACAAGUCAAAUCCACACAUGCAGACUCUCGUAGGUCAACCAUAACACUCGAGCAAACAAGUGCAAAGAAAACCGUGGAAGCCGCACGGUUCGGUUUCGUGCAGCACUGGAAUUCCUUAUAAUGUAGAGAGCCUGUAUGGAAAACGCUCGACUUUCUUCUAUGGCGGCACUGUUUCUGUGCUGCCCGGCACCAAAAGGAAGCAAGAGAUCAAAGGGAAGAUGUACAGAGUAUCCUUGCAGAAGGUGCAGUAGCAGUACAAUUCAUACACCCUUCAGCUUCAGUAGAAUCUUGUUAUAUAUUAUAUGAAACAUUGAUGUGCUUGUUGGAAGCACACAUUUGUUAGCAUUUUGCGUCCCAACAACACCUUCAAAAGGUUCCAACAGGCAAGCAGAGCAAGACCCUAGCGCAC